rnacentral:rRNA from 1 species
GACGAACGCUGGCGGCGUGCUUAACACAUGCAAGUCGAGCGGUAAGGCCCUUUCGGGGGUACACGAGCGGCGAACGGGUGAGUAACACGUGGGUGACCUGCCCUCAGCUCUGGGAUAAGCCUGGGAAACUGGGUCUAAUACUGGAUAUGACUCCACGGUGCAUGUCGUGGGGUGGAAAGCCUUGUGCGGCUGAGGAUGGGCCCGCGGCCUAUCAGCUUGUUGGUGGGGNGAUGGCCUACCAAGGCGACGACGGGUAGCCGGCCUGAGAGGGCGACCGGCCACACUGGGACUGAGACACGGCCCAGACUCCUACGGGAGGCAGCAGUGGGGAAUCUUGCGCAAUGGGCGAAAGCCUGACGCAGCGACGCCGCGUGAGGGAUGACGGCCUGGUGU